UUAUAGCAAUAUAUAAGUUUGAUUGUUGGCGGAAAGCAGAAGAUGAUUUGAGAUUUUUUCUGCAGGUGGUGUUGUAAGCAGUUACAGAAUCCGCUGAAAGUGUUGCUGGAUGUAGACACGGCUGAAGAUUUGUUGUGUGAGCUGUGGUGUAGCAUGUUAUGUGUAAUUUGUUGGCGGAGAAGGACAGGAAGGAGAUGAUGCUGGUGUUGGUGUUCGAUUUAUUUAUGAGGAUGAUGUAUAAGAUAUAUAUCGGGACCAGAAGGCCAAGAGGCCAAGGUCUUGUUUAUUAUCUUUGUCAUCCGACCUUUGCCAUGACAGGUGCGCUUGCAUGGCAGGUCAACCACUAUCUUAAUAAAAUAAUCAUUUUCGUGUUUGGAGGGGAGAUCGCACGGGGAUUUCCCGGGUUCUCUCCUCUAGUCUCUGUGUCCCGCUUUCUCUUCUCUUUGCCUUACAAUCCAUGGCUAACCUUGAUAGCGCGGCCCGACUCCAGCUAGCAAUCAAUUCAUCCAUGGCAGGAUAUUGCAAUUUGUGACGGUGACCCGAAGACCUUGGGGCUGGAUUUAAGUGGCUCUUACAUAGUCUUGUGAUUUGCAAUGGGAUCUUCUUGUUUGGUUCUCUGGGUGUGAGUGAUUUGGCCUAAGUAUGUUAGCGUUGAAGAUGGAUUUGUAAUCCUCAGUGGGCGAUCCACGUUUGUAAAGACCGUUUAUUAAGACCCCGUGCUGCUGAGCUUCAAUGAUCAUGACGAUGGCUUCAAAGGAUGACAGGAAGCUCAGGAGGUCCUCACACGAUUCUCAAUUGAGCCACACAAUUUUGAGGUGAUAAGUUCUUCAAUGGUUUACUAUUCCACCUGAAAGAAAAAUAAAACACUCAAUUAAAUUGUUAUGAAGUGUCAUUCAGUUUAAAACCCGCGCUGCUAUGGUUUCUUACUUGUUUUAGCUGGAGAUGUAGUAAUCUACUGAAGUCUCUUCUAUUUUACGUGCUGUUCUAUUAUAAUGCUCAUAAUUAUCCUCCUUCGUUAUUUUGAAGAAAA